CUGGCCCUUGGAAGGUCUUUCUAAUUAGCUUCCCAAACUAUAUAGCCUGCAGGAGAGAGUAACUCAGGACCUAGAAGAACUCACAGGAGGAAAAAAAGCCCUAAGUUUUAUUACAUGCUCACAAAGGCCCAGUGAUGAAAUUGAGAUGAAACAAUGACCAACG